rnacentral:rRNA from 1 species
AAAUUCCGAUGGUAGAGAUGGGGCAUGCGUUGUAUUAGCUAGUUGGUGGGGUAACGGCUCACCAAGGCGACGAUACAUAGGGGGACUGAGAGGUUAACCCCCCACACUGGUACUGAGACACGGACCAGACUCCUACGGGAGGCAGCAGUGAGGAAUAUUGGUCAAUGGACGCAAGUCUGAACCAGCCAUGCCGCGUGCAGGAUGACGGCUCUAUGAGUUGUAAACUGCUUUUGUACGGGGGUAAACGCAGAUACGUGUAUCUGUCUGAAAGUAUCGUACGAAUAAGGAUCGGCUAACUCCGUGCCAGCAGCCGCGGUAAUACGGAGGAUUCAAGCGUUAUCCGGAUUUAUUGGGUUUAAAGGGUGCGUAGGCGGUUUGAUAAGUUAGAGGUGAAAUUUCGGGGCUCAACCCUGAACGUGCCUCUAAUACUGUUGAGCUAGAGAGUAGUUGCGGUAGGCGGAAUGUAUGGUGUAGCGGUGAAAUGCUUAGAGAUCAUACAGAACACCGAUUGCGAAGGCAGCUUACCAAACUAUAUCUGACGUUGAGGCACGAAAGCGUGGGGAGCAAACAGGAUUAGAUACCCUGGUAGUCCACGCAGUAAACGAUGAUAACUCGUUGUCGGCGAUACACAGUCGGUGACUAAGCGAAAGCGAUAAGUUAUCCACCUGGGGAGUAC